AUUGAACGCUGGCGGCAGGCUUAACACAUGCAAGUCGAGCGGUAAGGCCCUUCGGGGUACACGAGCGGCGGACGGCUGAGUAGCGCGUAGGAACGUACCCCAAAGUGAGGAAUAAGCACCAGAAAUGGUGUCUAAUACCGCAUGUGGUCUUCGGAUUAAAGCCUUCGGGCGCUUUGGGAGCGGCCUGCGUAUGAUUAGCUUGUUGGUGAGGUAAUGGCUCACCAAGGCGACGAUCAUUAGCUGGUCUGAGAGGAUGAUCAGCCAGACUGGGACUGAGACACGGCCCAGACUCCUACGGGAGGCAGCAGUAGGGAAUUUUCCACAAUGGACGAAAGUCUGAUGGAGCAACGCCGCGUGCAGGAUGAAUGCCUUCGGGUUGUAAACUGCUUUUAUAGGUGAAGAUUAUGACGGUAACCUAUGAAUAAGGAUCGGCUAACUCCGUGCCAGCCGCCGCCGUAA
rnacentral:rRNA from 1 species